rnacentral:rRNA from 1 species
GCGAGUCUGCCUUGAAGAUCGGAGUGCUUGCACUCUGUGAAACAAGAUACAGGCUAGCGGCGGACGGGUGAGUAACACGUGGGUAACCUGCCCAAGAGAUCGGGAUAACACCUGGAAACAGAUGCUAAUACCGGAUAAUAACAGAUGAAGCCUAUCAACUGUUUAAAAGAUGGUUCUGCUAUCACUCUUGGAUGGACCUGCGGUGCAUUAGCUAGUUGGUAGGGUAACGGCCUACCAAGGCGAUGAUGCAUAGCCGAGUUGAGAGACUGAUCGGCCACAUUGGGACUGAGACACGGCCCAAACUCCUACGGGAGGCAGCAGUAGGGAAUCUUCCACAAUGGACGCAAGUCUGAUGGAGCAACGCCGCGUGAGUGAAGAAGGGUUUCGGCUCGUAAAGCUCUGUUGUUGGUGAAGAAGGACAGGGGUAGUAACUGACCUUUGUUUGACGGUAAUCAAUUAGAAAGUCACGGCUAACUGCGUGCCAGCAGCCGCGGUAAUACGUAGGUGGCAAGCGUUGUCCGGAUUUAUUGGGCGUAAAGCGAGUGCAGGCGGUUCGAUAAGUCUGAUGUGAAAGCCUUCGGCUCAACCGGAGAAUUGCAUCAGAAACUGUCGAGCUUGAGUACAGAAGAGGAGAGUGGAACUCCAUGUGUAGCGGUGAAAUGCGUAGAUAUAUGGAAGAACACCGGUGGCGAAGGCGGCUCUCUGGUCUGUUACUGA